GACGAACGCUGGCGGCGUGCUUAACACAUGCAAGUCGAACGGAAAGGCCCUGCUUUUGUUGGGUGCUCGAGUGGCGAACGGGUGAGUAACACGUGAGUAACCUGCCCUUGACUUUGGGAUAACUUCAGGAAACUGGGGCUAAUACCGGAUAGGAGCUCCUGCUGCAUGGUGGGGGUUGGAAAGUUUCGGCGGUUGGGGAUGGACUCGCGGCUUAUCAGCUUGUUGGUGGGGUAGUGGCUUACCAAGGCUUUGACGGGUAGCCGGCCUGAGAGGGUGACCGGCCACAUUAGGACUGAGAUACGGCCCAGACUCCAACGGGAGGCAGCAGUGGGGAAUAUGGCACAAUGGGCGGAAGCCUGAUGCAGCAACGCCGCGUGCGGAAUGACGGCCUUCGGGUUGUAAACCGCUUUCGCCUGUGACGAAGCGUGAGUGACGGUAAUGGGUAAAGAAGCACCGGCUAACUACGUG
rnacentral:rRNA from 1 species